GUGAUAGAGGUGCAUUUUGCAAAGAGUAUAUAUUGCUAAAAGGGACCGCGCAGGCUUAUGGCAGUAUGGAAAGGUGCAGGUGCCGAAGGCGAUUGCAGCGCACAAUCGUACUGGUCGUGUGAAAUAAGAUUCGCAGGACUGUCGCUCACGCGGAGGGCUAUCUU
rnacentral:ncRNA from 1 species